rnacentral:lncRNA from 1 species
CGUCACUAUCUCAUUUGCAUAAACAUAACCAUGUUACUAGACAUCCUGUGGUUCGUAUUUAAUAUUUUUAUUUAUCUAUCAGGUUCUCUUCCAAUCGUCCAUGAUAUAAUAUGAUCAAUUCUCCCAUGCUUUUUAUUGGCUAUUGUUAUGUCAUGUUGGUUUCUGUAAUGUUACUUCAAAAUAAUGAAUUUUUGGUUGGAUUUUCUUACUAAAGGCAGGCAUUUUAAUCUUAGGUGCUUUAUUCAGUGCAUGUGGUGUCUUGGAUUGAAAUAAGAGUAUCUUAGUGAGUUGCUUGUGUAGUGUGAGGAAAAGUUUCAUUUAUGUAGACUUGUGAAGGAU